GGGCCGAUAGAUCAGCCUGGUAGAUCGCUUCGUUCGCAAUGAAGUAGCCCCGGGUUCAAAUCCCGGUCGGUCCACCA
rnacentral:tRNA from 1 species